GCCUAUCAUUGCAGAGCGCGACCUCCAAAACAUGACGUCAGCCCGCCCUUAAAACAGGCACACACACCCCCGUCUUUAACUGAGAAGACGUAGCUUACAGACAGCAACGAAGAAUUAUCAGCAGCAAAGGAAUCAGCUAAAGGUAACCCCUGCCUUGAAGUGCAUUUGUUGUUUGACUUAAAUCGACAGCUGUUGAAGUGGCAUACAAUGGACGGACCUGACAGGCAAAUCAUUUACUGCCUUAAAUGCAAAAAGCCGUAUGGAAACUUGUCCACGCAUAUGAGAAAGGUCUGCAUGAAAAAAGACACGGAGGAAAUGCGGAAAGAACGACUCAGGCAAGCAAAGACAUCCCAAAAAGACUGGACCAAGGUGGCCAGAAGUUGGGAAUACGGUGAGAUCGCGGAGUUAAUGAACAGCGCAGAUCCCUGCCGUGCACUCAUUGAGAGAUUGGAGAGCAAAGGCUUUUUUGUGCUCAAUAACCCAGGACGCUCCACGGCAGAUGUCGUUACAAAUGAAAAAGAAGUGGUGAACAAUGUUCCGGGUAGCCCUGGGAAACAGAACCAUGUCCUGGACAGGUGAAUAUUACAUUACAUUACAUGUAUGCAUUUAGCAGAUGCUUUUAUCCAAAGCGACAUACAAACGAGGAUUAACAAUCAAGCUACAUAGAGGGAAGUGUGUAGAAGAAAGUAGUGCUGUACAGGGUGGAGACGGUAAUGCAGGGUAAGUGCUAAGACAGGAGGUGCUCUCUAAAGAGUUGGGUCUUGAAGUUUCUUGAAGCUGGAAAGAGACACCCCUGUUCUCUUGUGUGUUCCUCAAAAAGACCAGAUCUUGAUUUCACAACUGACGAUGCUGGGACCUCUGCCACCUAUCCCCAGCAGUGCAGUGCUCUAAAUAUAAACUAAAUUCAUGUGUGUGUCACACUUCUUUUGUCAACUUUUAUAUAGCUAAAAACAUGAAUUCUGGUUAAUGAUCACUGUGGAAUUGUUUUGUGUAAACAUUUUGCAUUAUUACAAUAUUGUUUAUGUCAAAUGAUUAAAUACAUAACAAAAAUGUAUUUAUAUAGUGUUCAUAACAGCAUAAUAAUAACCACAUUCAUAAUCUCAUGUAAAAAACAAACAAGCACAAGGCACAUUUUUGGACACAUUGGGGACUGAAAUGGAUUUAAGAACCCCCUGAGAUUGAAUGUCAUCACUGAGACAUGGUGAAACACAUGGAUGCCAAUCAACAUACAUGUGUAUGAACACCAGUCAACACUAAGAUAUUACUCUGUGCUCUUCUGGGAGUACUUGAUGCAGGCAUUUCACAUAUAUUUUUUACAUCACUUUGGCUACGCAAGGCUCUGACUUGCACAACACUGACACAAUGCAACACAGGACCUCAACAAGCCCCACUCUUUAACUUUUUUUUUUUCCUAACGAGGCGCUGUUGGAUUCCCGCUGACCUACUCUAUCCCAUUAGUGUAUCGAAGGAAAACCACUUGGUAAAGGUUAGGAAGCAGUCGAGGGCCAGGAGAAGGCACUGCACCAUCCUCCCUGGAAUGUUUUACCCCCACACGUGUCGUUGAAGAUGAGGCAGGAGUAUCCAAGAGACCCGGGAGUAUGUCAUCCUCCAGUGAGCCUGGUGUUGCCCCAGAAAAAAGUGGUGCCACAAAAAUCCCUGAGUGGCCAGAUUACAGCCAAGACCCCAUGGCUAUCAUUGACCAACUGUUCCCACAAGAGUGCACGUAUGACACAAUUGAUUUGGAGGAGUUUUUAGACCUGUGAUGGGGCAGCUCCCCCUCCCUGAGCAGACACUUUGUGUGUGUGUGUGUGUGUGGACAAGUUCAAAGACCACCUCUAAGGUAGAGACUAGGGUCUGAAAUGGACAGUGUAAAACACAGGGUGCCGAGGCUCCUUCCCAACAGGGGGUGCCUACACACCUCCUGAUGAAAACAAUAGAGGUGCCGUCCUGCGAGAACAUGGGGGUUUGACCGGACUGGUAGGUGUGUCUUGGUAGGUGAGGCAAAAACAGACUGUCAAAUCAUUCAACCACUUUAUUUGAGCAGAAUGGAAGGCAGAAAAGCAACACAAAAGACCAAACAUCUGGAGUCUCUCUAUCUCUCUCUCUCUCACACACACACACACACACACACACACUCUGCUAGACUGUGUUCUCUCUCAUAGACACAGACAGACUGUCAUUCUCAUAUACUGUCGCUAAAGGGCCCAGAGUGAAAACAUGCUAUUAAAAGAGUCAUAUGUGAUUACAUUUAUGCAUUUAGCAGACGCUUUUAUCCAAAGCGACAUACAUUUUGUCAGCUAUCAAUUACUUCAGGACCAUUGUAUUCUAAUUGUUAGAUUUUUUAUUAUUAUUGUUAUAUUUUUAUUAUUAUUACUAUUAUUGUCUGUUUGAUUG